rnacentral:rRNA from 1 species
CCUACGGGGGGCAGCAGUGGGGAAUAUUGCACAAUGGGCGCAAGCCUGAUGCAGCCAUGCCGCGUGUGUGAAGAAGGCCUUCGGGUUGUAAAGCACUUUCAGCGGGGAGGAAGGCGGUGAGGUUAAUAACCUCAUCGAUUGACGUUACCCGCAGAAGAAGCACCGGCUAACUCCGUGCCAGCAGCCGCGGUAAUACGGAGGGUCCAAGCGUUAAUCGGAAUUACUGGGCGUAAAGCGCACGCAGGCGGUCUGUCAAGUCGGAUGUGAAAUCCCCGGGCUCAACCUGGGAACUGCAUUCGAAACUGGCAGGCUAGAGUCUUGUAGAGGGGGGUAGAAUUCCAGGUGUAGCGGUGAAAUGCGUAGAGAUCUGGAGGAAUACCGGUGGCGAAGGCGGCCCCCUGGACAAAGACUGACGCUCAGGUGCGAAAGCGUGGGGAGCAAACAGGAUUAGAUACCCUGGUAGUC